CCGGCGCACGGGUGAGUAACACGUAUCCAACCUGCCGUCUACUCUUGGCCAGCCUUCUGAAAGGAAGAUUAAUCCAGGAUGGCAUCAGGAGUUCACAUGUCCGCAUGAUUAAAGGUAUUUUCCGGUAGACGAUGGGGAUGCGUUCCAUUAGAUAGUAGGCGGGGUAACGGCCCACCUAGUCAACGAUGGAUAGGGGUUCUGAGAGGAAGGUCCCCCACAUUGGAACUGAGACACGGUCCAA
rnacentral:rRNA from 1 species